GACGAACGCUGGCGGCGUGCUUAACACAUGCAAGUCGAACGGAAAGGCCCAGCUUGCUGGGUGCUCGAGUGGCGAACGGGCGAGUAACACGUGGGUGAUCUGCCUCUAACUUCGGGAUAAGCUUGGGAAACUGGGUCUAAUACCGGAUAGGACAAUCGUUUAGUGUCGGUUGUGGAAAGUUUUUUCGGUUAGGGAUGAGCCCGCGGCCUAUCAGCUUGUUGGUGGGGUAAUGGCCUACCAAGGCGUCGACGGGUAGCCGGCCUGAGAGGGUGGACGGCCACAUUGGGACUGAGAUACGGCCCAGACUCCUACGGGAGGCAGCAGUGGGGAAUAUUGCACAAUGGGCGCAAGCCUGAUGCAGCGACGCCGCGUGGGGGAUGACGGCCUUCGGGUUGUAAACCUCUUUCGACAGGGACGAAGCUUUGGUGACGGUACCUGUAGAAGAAGCACCGGCUAACUACGUG
rnacentral:rRNA from 1 species